GGGUCGGUGCCCGAGCGGCCAAAGGGGACGGGCUGUAAACCCGUUAGCGCAAGCUUACGUUGGUUCGAUUCCAACCCGGCCCA
rnacentral:tRNA from 2 species